rnacentral:rRNA from 1 species
UACGUAGGGGGCAAGGCGUUGUCCGGAAUCGAUUGGGCGUAAAGCGCGCGUAGGCGGCCCGGUAAGUCCGCUGUAAAAGUCCAGGGCUCAACCCUGGAAAGCCGGUGGAUACUGUCGGGCUAGAGUCCGGAAGAGGCGAGUGGAAUUCCAGGUGUAGCGGUCGAAAUGCGUAGAUAUCUGGAGGAACACCGGUGGCGAAGG